ACUCUCGCGAGACCAGGCGGACCGGAGCCGGGCAGCCCUGCGCAGUGUGGAGGUCGUUGGAGUCACAGUCGGCCAGCUCCUGCACCUGCGGCCCCAAGCCCUUCCCGCUCCAAUCAUGCUGUCCGCCUUCGCCCGGCCCGCCUGCGCCGCUCUCCACCGCAGCUUCAGCAGCUCGGCCCAGAACAAUGCUAAAGUAGCUGUGCUCAGGGCUUCUGGAGGAAUCGGGCAGCCCCUGUCACUGCUACUGAAGAACAGCCCCUUGGUGAGCCGCCUGACCCUCUACGAUGUCGCGCACACCCCUGGGGUGGCUGCGGAUCUGAGCCACAUUGAGACCAGGGCCACUGUGAAAGGCUACCUCGGACCCGAGCAGCUGCCAGACUGCCUCAAAGGCUGUGAUGUGGUGGUCAUUCCAGCUGGAGUCCCCCGAAAACCAGGCAUGACACGGGAUGACCUGUUCAAUACCAAUGCCACAAUUGUGGCCACCCUGACUGCUGCCUGUGCCCAGCACUGUCCUGAAGCCAUGAUCUGCAUCAUCGCCAACCCGGUUAACUCCACUAUCCCGAUCACAGCAGAAGUUUUCAAGAAGCACGGAGUGUACAACCCCAACAAGAUCUUUGGUGUGACGACCCUGGACAUUGUCAGAGCCAUCACUUUUGUGGCAGAGCUGAAGGGCCUGGAUCCAGCUCGGGUCAACGUUCCUGUCAUUGGUGGCCACGCUGGGAAGACCAUCAUCCCCCUGAUCUCUCAGUGUACCCCCAAAGUGGACUUUCCCAAGACCAGCUGGCAACACUCACGGGGCGGAUCCAGGAGGCCGGCACGGAGGUUGUAAAGGCCAAGGCUGGAGCAGGCUCUGCCACCCUGUCUAUGGCGUACGCCGGCGCCCGCUUUGUCUUCUCCCCCGUGGAUGCGAUGAACGGGAAGGAGGGCGUUGUUGAGUGCUCCUUCGUUCAGUCAAAGGAGACGGAGUGUACCUACUUCUCCACACCGUUGCUGCUGGGGAAAAAAGGUCUGGAGAAGAACCUGGGCCUCGGCAAGAUCUCCCCCUUCGAGGAGAAGAUGAUCGCCGAAGCCAUUCCUGAGCUGAAAGCCUCCAUCAAGAAAGGGGAAGACUUUGUCAAGAACAUGAAGUGAGGCUCAGUCUGCGAACAGCCGGUUUCUUAAUUUAUUAAGGCAUCAUGUCACUGUAAAGCCAUUUCGGAGACCUUUGUACUUUAAUUUGCUUUAAUAAUGAGUAUUGCAUCAGCAUUACCACCAUCCUCCCGCUGUGGCUGGUCUGUUGGCACAACAAUAAAUGCAGACUUUGAUUUUCUUUUUCAA